AAGUCGUAACAAGGUUUCCGUAGGUGAACCUGCGGAAGGAUCAUUACUGAACUGUCGACAUGAGCUGUUGCUGGUCUCCAAACGGGACAUGUGCACGCUCUGUCAACACAUCCACUCACACCUGUGCACCCUCUGUAGUCCCGUUGCCUGGGGGGCUCUGCCCCCCUGGUGUGGUUCUACGUCUUUACACAUACUCUGUAACAAAGUCUCAUGGAAUGUGCAUCGCGUAUAACGCAAUACAAUACAACUUUCAGCAACGGAUCUCUUGGCUCUC
rnacentral:misc_RNA from 1 species